rnacentral:lncRNA from 1 species
AUGCCCUUGAAUAUGAUUUAAAAAUUGACUUUUGGGGUCGAAAUUGGUCUUUUUCAAGCUUAUCCUAUCGUUCCAAAUAGGACUAUGAGUAUUGUUGCAUCACUCCUUAUUCAUUCAGUCCAAUCCAGUCUCAGGAUCAUUCUUUGAGGUCGGUCCUUCUGACUCUCAGUAUUAGAACUGCUUAAUUAAAAUAAGAAAUAAAGAUGAAUGACGGCAUCAAGGACCGAACUUUAUAAGUUUUUAGGGCUGAACUGGAACGAGAAUGAACUGAACAGCAGUGUAGUCUUCCGUCCUGAAUAAAGAAAGACACAACACCAUCUAUGAGUUAAAAAUUGGUUUAAGAUAUGCUCAAUGAUUUGGAGUUUGAUCAAAGAUAUAACAAAAUGUAACUAUAGGUGAAGAGAUAGUUGUUGAACAAAAAGGAACAAAAUUAUUUAUUAUUUUUAUUUUUUGUACUUUAUAUAUUUGUUUAAGAUUUGAUUUAUCAGUAAAAAAAAAUUGGUCAA